rnacentral:misc_RNA from 1 species
GCCUGACAACCUCACAACAUCAAGACCAACACCGUGACGCCAACAUGCGGUCAUUGGGAACAUUUCUGUCUCGAGCCAUGGCAGAUACGUUCAGGAAGCAUAUGAAGUGACAGGCCGUGGCUCCCAUCCCUUGCUGCUGAAAAUAUAAAUUGUUACUUCUCAGAGAGGCCAGCCAUGAGGUUUGACAUUCCUGUCAAAACAAUGUGGGUGACAUGGUUUGGCUCAAGACUUGGUGCUGCCACCUGUAUUGGUACUCAGCAUGUUGCUUGGAUACUGCACCACCAUUCCAGUAGCUACUGCCUGCCACAUGUUGCUUCCACAGCCUACAGUCGAUUGAGUGAUAGAAAAGUUACUUCUUUCUCUAGAAGUGCAUUUACUUUAUUCACAAACAGGAUUCAUAAAAGACAUUAUGGUAUAGGCACAGAUGGUGAUAGUGACGAUGACAUAAUGAGUGAUUCUGAAUUUGAAAGUAGUGGUUUUUUCAGAAGAAAAAUACAGGAAAAGGAUCAGUUGGAACCAUUGCGUGUUAAUUUAUACCCAGGCUCAAAUGAUGAUAUUAUAAAAAAGAUUAAUGAAGCUAAUAGUGUGCAAGAAGUGUUUGACCAGAUAGAGAGGUGUGGCAACCACCCAAGUGCUGAGCAUCUGAGUCAGGCUAUUGUAACGCUGUGGGAUCUCCAGAAGGUGUAUGGAAGAUAUGGUUAUGAUUGUUUUAUGAUUACCAAAAAUGAAAUUAAUCAAUUUUUAGAAAAAAUUUUGAGUCAUCCCAUGUUUGAAAAGAUAAGUGUGUGUUUGAUGGCAGUUUGUGAAGAUCUGAAUAACAGUGCACUUUCAUCAAUGCUGCUUUAUCUUAGUAAAUUGGGAGUUAGUAACCAGUCACCUGUCAUGCAGAAACUUACAUUAGUUUGCAUGGAGAGGAUGGAUAGCUUCAACCUGACUGCCUUGUCAAGACUUUCUGUUUAUUUACGUGAUCAAGGAAUUAAAGCAUUUUUUAUACAGUCAAAACUGCUUCCUCUGAUAGCAAGUAAACUUGAUGAAUGCUUGGAAGCUGAUGAAUUCUAUUUGAUGAGCAUAUGCUUUAAUAGUACCAAGAGGCUCAUUACAAGGCCACUCCUAGAAAAAUAUCUUGCUUUAGUUCAGAAAAAAAUAAAUGAAGGAUUUUUUGAAACAUGUGAUCCUAGAGUUACAUUGAAAGUAAUAAAGGUGCUUGAUUAUCCAGAGUUUUCAUCACGGCACAAACUUACUCAGCCUCUGAUGUUGUGUCUAGGAGAGAACUUCCACUCACUCUCUAUUGUGCAGGUCAUGGAUCUGAGCAACUACUUCCACAGUAUCCGGGAACCUCUUGACAUAUUCAAGAAGAUAUGUCAGUACUCUGUUAAUAUAAUUUCAGAAGCUAAAAUAUCUGGUGGAAGGCCAGAUAUAUUGUGUUUGGCUCCCUUUACUUCAGUAAAGAUGAGAAAUUACUUUGAAAGGCUGAUAGUUGAACAGUUGGAUGAGAAAGAUUUUCAUGAAUACAUUAUGGUUAUUUUCAAGGCCUUGAGAUAUUUCAAAACAUCUAAUCCUAAACUUUGUGACGCUUUCUGGAUCAAGUCUAUGAAUUCAGUAGAAGAGGAAUUGAAAAACAUUCCUCUCCACUUUUUGGGAAUGAAAGAAAUGACCAGGAGGAAAGUAUACCAGCGGUACAUGUACUUUAACAAUAAUCUUGGCGGCACCUACAGAAAUUUUGCUCUGGAGAGGACCAUGUCAACCCUGCUUAUGGAGGAUUUGGAAACUUGCUGUGGAUUAAUGCCCAACAAAGUUGCCAGUAUGGCAGCAUUCAUCAUUGGUUAUUCCUCCAGAGAAGGAAUACCAGAAUCUGUGUAUGAAAAAGUCAUAAGUUGUGGGCCGCAGUUCUCAAUAUAUGACACCAUGUCUAUAUCUCGUGGGAUACAGAUUUCAUUAGCCCUGAAUCGUAAGAACCUGCAGAGAAAAUUGAUGCAGCAGAUUACAACUAUUUGUCGGAUGUUGGAUGCCAGAACUGAAGAGUUUUUGAAGACAGCAAAAUCAUUAACUGAAAUUAUUAACCUUACAAGAGGCUACCUCAACCGUCGUGGAUCCCCAAGAACUUUCACCUUUGACAGAAUCAUAUCUGCCUUUUCCCCUCACCUUGAUGAACUCAACUCGCGCUUUAUAAAAGAAAUCUGUUUAUGUUUUACCACCACAUUAUACUUGGCUCCAGAGAUUCUUGAAGCCAUGAGCAAAUACAUUUUGAAGAACAAGGAGUAUAUAUUGAUAGAUACAAUGGAGGUGGUACUGACAUGUUUCUACUGCAUUGGCUACAAUUCAGAGAAAGUGGAUCAACUCUUGGCAGUCUGCACAAACACCUUCUUGCAAGAGAAUCACCAUAUGAGGGGCCUGAGUAUCUUACAGAUGUGCUUGGCACUGAACAUGUAUGGUCAUCUUCCCUCUGAAGUCAUUCAGAGUGUCUUCAACCUUAAAUUUAUGGAUCAAUUGGAUGAAGAAAUUGAAAAUUGCUAUUCAAAGGCCACCUAUCCGCUGAGAGUGCGGCACAUGCUCAUGGAGCUGAACCGGGCGGUGUGUCUUGAUCAUCCUCAAGAAAAUAUUCCAUGGUUUCAUGAAAAGUAUUGUGAAGAUUUUCUGGAAACAGUCCCUCACAGUCAUUCGCCAUCUUCAUCUGUGCUGGCUGGGACUGUAAACACACGAGAGGGCUGUAAACAUUGAACUGGGAGCUGGAGUGGCUGCCUGUCUGCAGGCAGCAGAACUACACUUCUGUUGCUGUGCCAACUUCUGUAUUCCACAGUGAGGUUCACCAAGCCCUAGCCCAACUAGUUGGAGGACCAGAAGUAGUGCGUGCUAAUGUUCACACUCCAUAUUAUUACCUUUUGG